rnacentral:rRNA from 1 species
AACAAGGUUUCCGUAGGUGAACCUGCGGAAGGAUCAUUAUUGAAGUAAACCUGAUAAGUUGCUGCUGGUUCUUUUGGGAGCAUGUGCACACUUGUCAUCUUUAUAUCUUCACCUGUGCACCUUUUGUAGACCUGAGUAUCUCUCUGGAUGCUUUUUAGCACUCAGGAUUUGAGGAUUGACUUUUUUUUGUCUCUUCUUCACAUUUUCAGGUCUAUGUUUCUUCAUAUACCCUAUGUAUGUUAAUAGAAUGUCAUUAAUGGGCCUUUGUGCCUAUACAAAUUACAACUUUCAGCAACGGAUCUCUUGGCUCUCGCAUCGAUGAAGAACGCAGCGAAAUGCGAUAAGUAAUGUGAAUUGCAGAAUUCAGUGAAUCAUCGAAUCUUUGAACGCACCUUGCGCUCCUUGGUAUUCCGAGGAGCAUGCCUGUUUGAGUGUCAUUAAUAUAUCAACCUKCUUUGGUUGGAUGUGGGUUUGCUGGCCUCUUGAGGUCAGCUUUCCUCAAAUGCAUUAGCGGACAACAUUUUGCCAACCGUUCAUUGGUGUGAUAAUUAUCUACGCUAUUGACGUGAAGCAAGGUUCAGCUUCUAAAUGUCCAUUGACUUGGACAAAUUUAUUUUAUUAAUGUGACCUCAAAUCA